rnacentral:piRNA from 1 species
CAGAAAAGCGGUAGUAACAUUUGUAGUGCA